AUGCCUCAGCCGCACACGCCUAAGCCGCAGCAGUCAAGCAUUCCUACAAGACUUCCUGCAUCGGGAUCUUGCUUCAAGUGCCAGAAAUCUAGCCACUAGGCCAAGAAAUGCCCGCAGCCCAGGAUUCCUCCUCAGCAGUAUCCCAUCUGUGAAGGACCCCACUGAAAAUCAGACUCUUCAACUCACCUGGCAGCCACUCCCAGAGCCGCUGGAACUCCGGCCCAAGGCUCUCUGACUGACUCCUUCUCACAUUUUCUCGGCUUAGCAGCUGAAGACUGAUGCUGCCCGAUCACCUUGGAAGCCCCGUAGGCCAUCACGGACGCCAAGCUUGAAGUAACUCUCAGAGUAGAAAAUGGAAUCUCACACUGUCGCCCGAGCUGGAGUGCAGUGGCGCGAUCUCAGCUCACUGCAAUCUCCGCCUCCCGGGUUCAAGUGAUUCUCCUGCCUCAGCCUCCCAAGUAGCUGCGAUUACAGUAUUCGUGUGCCGUGAGUCCCACUGACUGCAGUGCUGUUGAGCCGGAGGCUGAGAAAGCUCUAGACCUGAUCAAUAAAAGGCGACGGGAUGGCUACCUUUUCCAAUUG
rnacentral:sRNA from 1 species